UCACAGGAGAGGAAGGAUGACCAGAAAGUUCUGGAUUCUGAGGUGGUUAAAGCCAUCGAAGCAGUUCCAGAUUUGAAGACCUAUUUAGGUGCCAGAUUCUCUCUAAGGUCUGGAAUGAAACCCCAUGAGCUUGUGUUCUAAAUAUUUAGUUUAUUCUCAAGUCUUGCCUGGCCCAAUUGAAUUUUAUAGAGGCUACAUGACAUUGG
rnacentral:misc_RNA from 1 species